AGUGAACGCUGGCGGUAGACCUAACACAUGCAAGUCGAACGGCAGCACAGUAAGAGCUUGCUCUUACGGGUGGCGAGUGGCGGACGGGUGAGGAAUACAUCGGAAUCUACUUUUUCGUGGGGGAUAACGUAGGGAAACUUACGCUAAUACCGCAUACGACCUACGGGUGAAAGCAGGGGAUCUUCGGACCUUGCGCGAUUGAAUGAGCCGAUGUCGGAUUAGCUAGUUGGCGGGGUAAAGGCCCACCGAGGCGACGAUCCGUAGCUGGUCUGAGAGGAUGAUCAGCCACACUGGAACUGAGACGCGGUCCAGACUCCUACGGGAGGCAGCAGUGGGGAAUAUUGGACAAUGGGCGCAAGCCUGAUCCAGCCAUACCGCGUGGGUGAAGAAGGCCUUCGGGUUGUAAAGCCCUUUUGUUGGGAAAGAAAAGCAGCAGGUUAAUACCCCGCUGUUCUGACGGUACCCAAAGAAUAAGCACCGGCUAACUUCGUG
rnacentral:rRNA from 1 species